ACGCUCGACCCUACGGGAGGAGCAGUGGGGGAUAUUGCACAAUGGGGGGAACCCUGAUGCAGCGACGCCGCGUGAGGGAAGAAGGUUUUCGGAUUGUAAACCUCUGUCCUCAGGGAAGAAGAUGACGGUACCUGAGGAGGAAGCCACGGCUAACUACGUGCCCGCAGCCGCGGUAAUCUGAGCGGGCUGGCAAGGC
rnacentral:rRNA from 1 species